rnacentral:other from 1 species
UGCCCCCUGCGGUGUACGAGAGCGUCUAAAUCUCUUGGACCAAUGCGUAGCGCAGGUUGCUCAUGUCACGCCGCUGUUGUGCGCGUCCCACUGUCGGAUGUACCUGAUGCGGCCCUUUGGGCGACCACUUGAACCCGAUGGUUCAAGGAUCUGAUCGUAACGGCAUCUGCGGGGGGGCA